rnacentral:ncRNA from 2 species
GUUCGAAAUCGCGCCGAUUUGAACCCGGAUUGCGGGCGCGUUAAAAAUUCCCGCUAAAAGGGUGUGUCCAGCGUUGA